GCCCUUCGUCCCCCAGCCGCCCAACCUCCUAAGCGCUGAAGGAAUUAUUUUUGGGAGUCAUGACCAUAGCUGCCUGCUUCCCCCAACCCUCGACGACGAAAAGGACUUCGGCCCCCGGCCGGGCGGCUCCGGGGGAAAAAAGAGAGAGCGACCGCCGCCCCGCGCUCAGGGCCACUCUAGAGGGAGAAGCUGCCCCGAGGCUGGCAGAGCGCCCAGCCGCGGUGGAGACCGGAAGCCUUCUGGAGCCCAAGGCUGUGCACGUCCCCUGUGCUGAUUCUCUGCCUAGGAAAGGACCAUGCAGCUGGAGAUCAAAGUAGCCCUGAACUUCAUCAUCUUCUACUUGUACAACAAGCUGCUCUGGCGCCUCUGAAAAAGAAAUAAGAAGCCCACUGGUACCCUGACAAACCACUGAAGGGCUCUGGCUUCCACACCGAGGAGAUGGUGGACCCCGUUGGGGAGCUGGCCGCUAAGCGAAGUGGCCUGACAGUGGAAGAUGUGCGGGCCAAUGUGCCUGAGGAGCUGAGCAUAUGGAUUGACCCCUUCGGGGUGUCCUACCAGAUUGGUGAGAAGGGAGCAGUGAAAGUGCUGUACCUGGAUGACAGUGACGGCUGUGGGGCCCCGGAGCUGGACAUGAAGAUCAAGAGCAGUUUCACUCCUGACGACCAGAUGCUCUUUCUCCUCGGAAGCCAGGACAGCUCCUUGUCCAACUCCCCGUCGCUAUGCUUUGCCCAUCACCCAGCCCCACCUUCAUCCUCUGCCUCGCCCAGCCCAUCACCUUCACCAUGGACUCCUUUGCUGCCACCAAAUUAGGCUCCACUAAGAUGAAGAAGAGGGGUGGGGCAACAAGUGGUAGGGGUGCAGCCAGCGGUGAAGCAGGUGGCCAGCAGCCAGUACAGCAGCCUCCACGGCCCGCUUCAACACCAACAGCUUGUUGAAACACAGGAGUCUUUCUCUGUCUGUGCAUUCAUUGAACUUCAUCCCGGCCAACCGGCCUCUCAAUCCCAGCUCUCGCCCCAAGGCCACGUACAGUCUCAAGUACAACAGUGGUGGCUUGCCCAGUUUCUUCCUUGAUGGGGCCAAUGGCCAGGGUAGUGACACCCGAGCCCUCUUUGGAGGCAGUGGGACUGUCACCUGCAACGCCAGCAGCUUCUACAUGGUCUAGGUAUUUGGAGGUGGUGCCACCGCCUCUUCCUGGAGAAGGCACCCUUCAUGGAAGACCUCAGCUACAACCUGAACACCAUGCAAUAUCCUAGUCAACCGUUCCAGUCCGUGGUGCUGGCCAACUGACCGUCUACCUGCCCUGGGGCCGGGAGCACCCAAGACCACAGAAAAGAGAAAGAAAAGGAAAGGCCAAAAAAAAAAAAAAAAAAAGAGGAAAAGGAAAAUGUACAAAAAGAUUUUCUAUUUUCUCACUCUCACUUCUAGAAAAAAAGAUCUAGUGCAGGCACGGAAUGGGAGGGGCUUCCAAAGCACCAAAAUGUGUUUAACUAACCCCCCUACCACUUACAAUUCGCCCAUCGGCCUGUAAUUUGGUUGGUUUGGGUUUUAUAUUUCUUUUUUCUUUCUUUCUUUUUUUAACAUGUAGUUCUUUAUAUAACAUCUUUAAUUGGUGGCUUCCUUUGCUAAGAAUGGGCAAAGGAGAGGCUGACCUGUGUCACUGCCUCUGUCGCCCAGCUAUUCUCACACUCAAAGCCAUCCAAACUUGGCAGGCCUUCUCAGGCCCUGUGACCGAAAUAGACCUGACUCCAGCCCCCACUCCCUUUCAGGCUGGGCCACAGGGAGCUGCCAGUUGGCCACUUGACACCCACCCCCACCACACCCUAGAGCUGAUGUCUGUGACUACAGGAAGGUUAGCACUCUAUCUAGUUGAAUUCCUGUCAUCUCUGUCCUGAGGCCCUGCCUCACCAUUCCCUCAAGGCCCAGACCAUCAUCAAGGCCCUGGCCACCCAGCCACUGAUGCAUAUGGCCUUUUCUUUCUCUCAUGCAGCCUCUUCUCCCUGGGGCAGAGGUUGUGGGGAGGGAGGUGGUGUGUGUGUGUGUGUGUGUGUGUGUGUGUGUGUGUGUGGUUUGCUGUCCAGUUUUAAAGGAUUCCAAGCCAUGUGAAACUUCCUCACUAGAUGUGAUUCUGGGUUGCGGCAAGUGCUUAUUAAUGAGUGAGGCUGGGGAAUGGGCUGGGGGUAUUAGCAGUCCUUUUGCAGUGUGUGUGGUGGGGUCACACCACUAUGGCUAAGCCUAAGACACUCCCAGAGAGAAGUACUGCAGAAGGAACUGGUUUCCGGACUGCAGAGGGAUCUGCAUUUUUGUUUUUGACCACCCCCACCAAAAAAAUAGGUUAGAUCUGAAGGGCAAAGGGAAUACCCAAGCCUCUGAUGCCUAUGAGAAGUCCCUGGACUUCGACCCUUCUGAUGUGUGAUGUUAGCCCCGUGGGGAGCUGCUCACCUGAGCACCUUUGGGGGUGAGAAGGGAGCAGGGAGGUAGGGUGGGAUAUUGGAGUCAGCAUCUGUAGUGGGCAGCCCUGAGCCUGGAAUAGAUACUUUUUGGUCUUUUGGUUGUAGAUGUUAUUUGAGUACAUUUAUGCCCCUGGCUGAUUGAGAGCUUCUCAGUACUUCUUGCCAUCCCCCUCACUGCCCUGACCCAACCCCACUGGACCUUAAUACAGUGAGGGGUGGUAUCCUGGACAGGGACUCUGCACUCCCAGCUGUUUGGAUCACAGAAGAGUGUUUGCCCCUCUGCCUUUGCCAGAAGAGGGUUUGUUUCUCCAACCCUACAAGGCCAGGCAGACGUGGACAGGAGCCAGGGGAGCAGGGUAAUGAACUUUUUUUCCUUUGGCAAGUGGGGCGCUCCUCGCCUCUCUCUUUGCCCCAUAGCCCGCUCACGGACGCCCGGCCUCACCAGGUAGUGUUGCUUGAUUUGUAUGCAAAAUGUUGUUCUUCCUUUAUCUGAAAUUCAAAUUUAAUUGGGUAUUUUGUAUCUUAUCUGGCAAUCCUACCGCCAACCUGACUUCAGGCCGGAGGAGGAGAAAUUGCGUUCCGGGUAACUUCCCACCCCAUUGAGCCGGAGAACAGUUUCCUAAGUUUUGGGAAGAGUGAAAACCUGUCACCACGAAAAGAAAGGAAAUCUCCUCCAAUUGAAAACAAACAAACAAACAAAAAAACCCCAAAAGCUGUUACCAGGGGCUGGGAGGACAGGUAAAGCCAGAUGCAAAGUUAACAGGAAACACUGUUUUCCAAGAUCAUGCAGCAGCCGUAAAAUGUCGCAAUGGUCCCCUCUUUGAGCAAUUGCUGCCUUUUUACGAGUGCGCAUACCCGCUUUGCCACACCCAUCCAUGUACUACUGGGGAUACCGAAGAUCACUCUCUCCUUGUGACAACGCCCAAUCCCUAGCUAAUCCCCACUACUCCUAACCCCACCUCAGAAACACCAAGCAAUCCAGAACUGAUCCUGCUUCUCUUAGAGAUUCCUCAGAAUCCUCGAAUGGGAACCCAAACCUUACAAAAGACAGUUCUCUCCAGCCUCUUGUUGAACUGCAUUUCUCCGUUACUCUGGAAUAUCCUGUCACUUCAUCUAUGUAUUAAAUCUGAUUUUGCUUUGUU